AUUCCAUGAUGAAGGCACUUCUGUAAUAGUUCUUUGUACCUUUCCCAUGCCUCAUACAAGGAUUCGUCAUGCAUUUGUUGGAAAGUAGUGAUCCCAUUCCUCACCUU
rfam:Gossypium raimondii Chr09_contig_1567, whole genome shotgun sequence.